rnacentral:rRNA from 1 species
UGAGCAAUCUGCCCUUCUCAUCGGAAUAAGCGUUGGAAACGACGUCUAAUGCCGAAUACGACCUCCUUUCGCAUGAUCGGAGGUGGAAAGCUCCGGCGGAGAAGGAUGAGCUCGCGGCCUAUCAGCUAGUUGGUGUGGGUAAUAGCCCACCAAGGCGACGACGGGUAGCCGGCCUGAGAGGGUGUCCGGCCACACUGGGACUGAGACACGGCCCAGACUCCUACGGGAGCAG